rnacentral:rRNA from 1 species
CCAAUAGCGUAUAUUAAAGUUGUUGCAGUUAAAAAGCUCGUAGUUGAAUUUCGGGAUCAUCAGGUUGGUCGUGCCUCUGGUAUGUACUGAUUUCGAUGGUCCCUCCUUCUUGACGAGCCGUAAUGCCAUUAAUUUGGUGUUGCGGGGCAUCAGGACUGUUACUUUGAAAAAAUUAGAGUGUUUAAAGCAGGCAAUCGCUUGACUACAUUAGCAUGGAAUAAUGACAUAGGACGUUCGAUCCUAUUUUGUUGGUUUCUAGGAUUGACGUAAUGAUUAAUAGGGAUAGUUGGGGGCAUUAGUAUUCAAUUGUCAGAGGUGAAAUUCUUGGAUUUAUUGAAGACUAACUACUGCGAAAGCAUUUGCCAAGGAUGUUUUCAUUAAUCAAGAACGAAAGUUAGGGGAUCGAAGACGAUCAGAUACCGUCGUAGUCUUAACCAUAAACUAUGCCGACUAGGGAUCGGAUGAUGUUAAUUUUUUAACGACUCAUUCGGCGCCUUACG